rnacentral:rRNA from 1 species
AGAGUUUGAUCCUGGCUCAGAAUGAACGCUGGCGGCGUGCUUAACACAUGCAAGUCGAACGAGAACGGGAUUGCUUGCAAUCCUCAGUAAAGUGGCGCACGGGUGAGUAACACGUGGAUAACCUACCUAAGGUUCUGGAACAACAUUGCGAAAGCGAUGCUAAUACCGGAUGAAAUAUUUUACUCUUCGGGGUUUGAUAUGAAAGAGUGCCUCUAUUUAUAAGCAUUUGACAUUAGAUGGGUCCGCGGAUCAUUAGCUUGUUGGUGGGGUAAUGGCCUACCAAGGCGACGAUGAUUAGCUGGUCUGAGAGGAUGAUCAGCCACACUGGAACUGACACACGGUCCAGACUCCUACGGGAGGCAGCAGUGAGGAAUUUUGCGCAAUGGGCGAAAGCCUGACGCAGCAACGCCGCGUGAGUGAAGAAGGCUCUUGGGUCGUAAAGCUCUGUCAACAGGGAAGAAACAGUUUAAUAGCUGCAAGCCUUGACGGUACCUGUGAAGGAAGCACCGGCUAACUCCGUGCCAGCAGCCGCGGUAACACGGGGGGUGCAAGCGUUAUUCGGAAUUAUUGGGCGUAAAGCGCAUGUAGGCGGAAAAGUCAGUCAGAUGUGAAAGCCCGGGGCUCCAACCGGCAAACGGCCUCUGAAACUGCCAGGCUUGAGUUCGAGAGAGGUAGGUGGAAUUCCAGGUGUAGCGGUGAAAUGCGUAAAUAUCUGGAGGAACACCGGUGGCGAAGGCGGCCUACUGGCUCGAUACUGACGCUCAGGCACGAAAGCAUGGGGAGCGAACGGGAUUAGAUACCCCGGUAGUCCAUGCCGUAAACGAUGGGUACUAGGUGUUGGAGGAUUCUACCCCUUCAGUGCCGCAGCUAACGCAUUAAGUACCCCACCUGGGGAGUACGAUCGCAAGGUUGAAACUCAAAGGAAUUGACGGGGGCCCGCACAAGCGGUGGAGCAUGUGGUUUAAUUCGAUGCAACGCGAAGAACCUUACCUGGGCUUGACAUGCAGGAGACAGCCGUGAAAGUCGGGUAGCUCGCAAGAGCGCGCUAUAUAGGUGCUGCAUGGCUGUCGUCAGCUCGUGUCGUGAAACGUUGGAUUAAGUCCCGCAACGAGCACAACCCUUGUCCUUAGUCGCCAUCAGGUUAUGCUGGGAACUCUAAGGAGACUGCCGACGUUAAGUCGGAGGAAGGUGGGGAUGACGUCAAGUCCUCAUGGCCCUUAUGUCCAGGGCUACACACGUGCUACAAUGGCCGGUACAGAGCGUCGCAAACCCGCGAGGGUGAGCCAAUCGCACAAAACCGGUCUCAGUUCAGAUUGCACUCUGCAACUCGAGUGCAUGAAGUCGGAAUCGCUAGUAAACGCAGAUCAGCAGGCUGCGUUGAAUACGUUCCCGGGCCUUGUACACACCGCCCGUCACACCAUGGGAGCCGACAGUACCCGAAAAGCCUGGGCUAACCGCAAGGAGGCAGGGUUUGAAGGUAAGGUUGGUGACUGGGGUGAAGUCGUAACAAGGUA